rnacentral:rRNA from 1 species
AUUGAACGCUGGCGGCAUGCUUUACACAUGCAAGUCGAACGGCAGCGCGGGCUUCGGCCUGGCGGCGAGUGGCGAACGGGUGAGUAAUGCAUCGGAACGUGCCCAGUAGUGGGGGAUAGCCCGGCGAAAGCCGGAUUAAUACCGCAUACGACCUGAGGGUGAAAGCGGGGGACCGAAAGGCCUCGCGCUAUUGGAGCGGCCGAUGUCGGAUUAGCUAGUUGGUGGGGUAAAGGCUUACCAAGGCGCCGAUCCGUAGCUGGUCAGAGAGGACGACCAGCCACACUGGGACUGAGACACGGCCCAGACUCCUACGGGAGGCAGCAGUGGGGAAUUUUGGACAAUGGGGGCAACCCUGAUCCAGCCAUGCCGCGUGCGGGAAGAAGGCCUUCGGGUUGUAAACCGCUUUUGUUCGGGAAGAAAUCCUCUGGGCUAAUACCCCGGGGGGAUGACGGUACCGGAAGAAUAAGCACCGGCUAACUACGUG